rnacentral:rRNA from 1 species
GAUGAACGCUAGCUACAGGCUUAACACAUGCAAGUCGAGGGGAAACGACAUCGAAAGCUUGCUUUUGAUGGGCGUCGACCGGCGCACGGGUGAGUAACGCGUAUCCAACCUGCCCACCACUUGGGGAUAACCUUGCGAAAGUAAGACUAAUACCCAAUGAUAUCUCUAGAAGACAUCUGAAAGAGAUUAAAGAUUUAUCGGUGAUGGAUGGGGAUGCGUCUGAUUAGCUUGUUGGCGGGGUAACGGCCCACCAAGGCUACGAUCAGUAGGGGUUCUGAGUGGAAGGUCCCCCACAUUGGAACUGAGACACGGUCCAAACUCCUACGGGAGGCAGCAGUGAGGAAUAUUGGUCAAUGGGCGAGAGCCUGAACCAGCCAAGUAGCGUGCAGGAUGACGGCCCUAUGGGUUGUAAACUGCUUUUAUAAGGGAAUAAAGUGAGCCUCGUGAGGCUUUUUGCAUGUACCUUAUGAAUAGGGACCGGCUAAUUCCGUGCCAGCCGCCGCGGUAA